CCCGCUGAACUUAAGCAUAUCAAUAAGCGGAGGAAAAGAAACCAACAGGGAUUGCCUUAGUAACGGCGAGUGAAGCGGCAACAGCUCAAAUUUGAAAUCUGGCCUUCUGGUCCGAAUUGUAAUUUGUAGAGGAUGCUUUUGGUGAGGUACUUUCCGAGUUCCCUGGAACGGGACGCCUUAGAGGGUGAGAGCCCCGUACGGUUGGAUACCAAGCCUUUGUAUAGCUCCUUCGACGAGUCGAGUAGUUUGGGAAUGCUGCUCUAAAUGGGAGGUAAAUUUCUUCUAAAGCUAAAUACUGGCCAGAGACCGAUAGCGCACAAGUAGAGUGAUCGAAAGAUGAAAAGCACUUUGAAAAGAGGGUUAAAUAGCACGUGAAAUUGUUGAAAGGGAAGCGUUUAUGACCAGACUUUUUCCAAGAGGAUCAUCCGGUGUUCUCACCGGUGCACUUCUCUUGGUUGAGGCCAGCAUCGGUUUCCGUAGAGGGAUAAAAGCUUUAGGAAUGUGGCUCCCUCGGGAGUGUUAUAGCCUAUUGUAUAAUACCUUUAUGGGGACCGAGGUUCGCGCAUCUGCAAGGAUGCUGGCGUAAUGGUCAUCAACGACCCGUCUUGAAACACGG
rnacentral:rRNA from 1 species